rnacentral:rRNA from 1 species
GACGAACGCUGGCGGCGUGCCUAAUACAUGCAAGUAGGACGCAGUUGCGAACGGGUGAGUAACGCGUAGGUAACUACCUAUUAGAGGGGGAUAAAUAUUGGAAACGAUAGCUAAUACCGCAUACUAGUAGAUGGACCUGCGUUGUAUUAGCUAGUAGGUAGGGUAAUGGCCUACCUAGGCAACGAUACAUAGCCGACCUGAGAGGGUGAGCGGCCACACUGGGACUGAGACACGGCCCAAACUCCUACGGGAGGCAGCAGUGAGGAAUAUUGGUCAAUGGAGGAAACUCUGAACCAGCCAAGUCGCGUGAAGGAAGAAUGCCUAAGGAUUGUAAACUUCUUUAGCGAGUGAGUAAGUAGCUCGAGAAUAAGUAUCGGCUAACUCCGUGCCAGCAGCCGCGGUAAUUC